GACGAACGCUGGCGGCGUGCUUAACACAUGCAAGUCGAACGGAAAGGCCUGCUUUCCCUUGUGGAUUGCGGGUACUCGCGUGGCGAACGGGUGAGUAACACGUGAGUGAUCUGCCCCCAACUUGGGUAUAAGCCUGGGAAACUGGGUCUAAUUCCCGAUAGGACUGCAGGGUGGUGCCUGUGGUGGAAAACGAUUUUCUAGUGGUUGGGGAUGAGCUCGCGGCCUAUCAGCUUGUUGGUGGGGUAAUGGCCUACCAAGGCGGCGACGGGUAGCCGGCCUGAGAGGGUGGACGGCCACAUUGGGACUGAGAUACGGCCCAGACUCCUACGGGAGGCAGCAGUGGGGAAUAUUGCACAAUGGGCGGAAGCCUGAUGCAGCGACGCCGCGUGGGGGAUGACGGCCUUCGGGUUGUAAACUCCUUUCGACCGCGAGGAAGCCACCUGGUUGGAAGGGUGGUGACGGUAGUGGUAGAGGAAGCACCGGCUAACUACGUG
rnacentral:rRNA from 1 species